rnacentral:lncRNA from 11 species
AGACACUGAAGAUCAAAUCGGGAAAUGAGUGAUGGAAUUCAGCUUGGGACUUAUAUUUUUACUUCCUGAGUUGCUUCGGGAAAGCAUCACACUUGGGAUUGACUUUCCGUUGGGACCUACAGCUGGGUUCACAGCAACAGCCAACAAAACUAUAGGAGAUGCAUCAUUUUUACAGAUGUGUUGGAAACUGUUUGAGCCCCAGUCACCAGCUACUUCCACCAGCCAUUCCUGCCUUCAAGUAAGCAAGGUGGAGAGAAGGGAAUCUAUAGGCAAUGGAGUCGGUUGUGUGGAAAGAAUGUGAGUAGGAAUUAUUCUAAGGUUCAGUGACUUAAUUUAGGUUCAAA